rnacentral:rRNA from 1 species
GACGAACGCUGGCGGCGUGCUUAACACAUGCAAGUCGAGCGGUAAGGCCCCUUCGGGGGUACACGAGCGGCGAACGGGUGAGUAACACGUGGGUGACCUGCCCUCAGCUCUGGGAUAAGCCUGGGAAACUGGGUCUAAUACCGGAUAUGACUCCAUGACGCAUGUCGUGGGGUGGAAAGCCUUGUGCGGCUGGGGAUGGGCCCGCGGCCUAUCAGCUUGUUGGUGGGGUGAUGGCCUACCAAGGCGACGACGGGUAGCCGGCCUGAGAGGGCGACCGGCCACACUGGGACUGAGACACGGCCCAGACUCCUACGGGAGGCAGCAGUGGGGAAUCUUGCGCAAUGGGCGAAAGCCUGACGCAGCGACGCCGCGUGAGGGAUGACGGCCUCGG